GCCACAGCCAAGUGCCCUGCCAGCCUCAGCAGCAUGUGGUCCUUGGGCACUACCACCUCCUAGGGCAGCAAACACUGAAGUGCUCUGGAGAUCCCACAGCCCAGGUGGACGCCAGGCUUGGCGCACUUAGAACGACGCUGGCGCAUAGUUAGUGCGCAGCCCAUUUGGCUAUUGUGACUACUGAGAGCUCUGUGCCUGGCGCCGCUGGGCACUGAGGAUGUGGCCCCAUCCGCAUGCCAUCUCCUCGCUUGGUGACCGGUCCCGCCAUCCACCCAGGAACGUGGAACAGGCUCUCUGGACAUCCCGAGAGGGACCGGAGGAGCUCUAAAAUAGCUGCUGGGCAAGACUUGACCCCUUCCCUUUGGGACUGAGCGUUCACUGGGCCAUUUGGAAGCAUGGAUGCCACCCCAGCAGGUUUUAGCAGAAUUGGAGACGCAGAAAUGGCUGAGAGCAGGCAGGGACCACUGGUGGAAGCGGGAGGCGGAAGAGAAACCUCCCGGAAGAUAAGAGGCCUAGAUUUUCACACUGGUCAAAUGACUUUGCACCUUGUUUUUCCCAUAUUUGUGGCCUCAAUUCCUGCUGAAUCCCUCCGACGGACCCUGGAAAGAAUCAGAUGAAUGAGGGCCAGAAGCUGAGGGUUAAACAUCAAGCUCUGCCAUUUAUUAGCUCAGUGUUCCCUCCUGUGCCGCGCGGGCUUCCCGUACCACCCGCUGGGCUUGGUGUGGGCUGUGUGCAGACUCUGAUCACAGCAAUGCAUGUGAGAAGGGAGGUGGCAGGCUUGGCUAGAUCCUGCACGGGUGUCCGUGUGCACUUGAACACGCCCUAACAACCCCGGAAAAUGGUUAGUCUUUACAGCGUCUCCAUCUGGAUUAAGAGCCAGUGGGGUGUGAACUCUUGCUUUGUACUGUGCUUAGAACCUUCCUGGGGAGACUGGCACUGCAUGAGAAACUCAGGCAGAUGUCGCACAAGCUAUUGCGAGGACUGAGAUGGGAAGAUGUUUCAGAGCUCUCAGACUGUCAGUGCUUGCGAGAAGAAGAGAAGAAGGAGAAAUCACCUGGCUUCGGGCUUCACCCAAAGCGACAAGUGAGGUCUGUUUUCUGCACCCAACCCUUGGGGGGAAUAUCUGUCUUUUGGCAACAGAUAAGGAAAUUGAGGCUCAGAGAGAUGAAGCAAUUCACAUCUGAGUUGCACAGCAGACACACUUGGACUACUUUCAAAGCUGUCACCAGGGGAGACUGUGGACUUAUUCCAACCAUGUCGCUAUGGGGGAUGCUUUGGUGCCCUGCGCACAUCCUGAGGCCUGGGUCUGCUUUCAGCUGCACCCGUGGUGGGUGGAUGGUUCCAUGUGAGUUCUGACUCUUGCUCACAACCUCCCACCUCAGGCAAUGGACACGUGACUCUCUGGUUUUCUGCCUCAGGCCCGGUUGCGGGAGUGCAGGGGCAGCCCAGAAGUCAGAGGUCCCGAAGAAUCUAGCUCCUGUGUCUACAAGGGACAACUUCAAAAGCGCACAAUUAUAUUGACCUUUCCUCCUUCCCUGACUCAUUCCCGCCACCCCUCAUUUCUGCUUCUUGGGGUCACCCUCCUAAAUAAACUCUGUGAACCCUAGUCCUUGACUUAGGCUCUGCUUUUUGGGGAACACAAGCUGAAACAGGUGGUAUCACUGACAGCAUCAUCAAUCCCGCUUGUGGACUGACUUUCAGAAGCUGAGACCUGAUCUUUGGUACCACUUCCAGUGUGGCAAAGCUUUCAUCUUCCAGGAGAUGUCUGGCAACAGCCAAAUAUGAUCCAGAGCAACGCUUGGUACUGAGGCACGUGAUCAAUCGCACCCGGUAUGGAGUGGCAGCUGGGGUGGAGGCCAGCGUGGAGGACCGGCCUUUGCCAAGACUCAGCAUCAAGUCUGCUCUUGGAUGUGUCUUUGCUGUGAGAUCCUGGACCAGUGACUUGGCUUUUCCGGGCCCCAGGGGCUUCAUCUGUAAAGUGAGGGGCAGUGACACCCAGCUCCCAGGUCUGCUGUGAGGAUUGAGCGUAUUUGUGAAAUCAUUUUCUGAUCGAUAAAUAGCUGUAUGUACAUGAGUUACUAUUGGUUGAAAACAAGAUGGUGGCUGCAAAGUAAUGGGGCCAGUAAAUUGGGAAGGUCAGUUCUUCAGGGGAGUCUGAACACAUUUGAUCAGUGGGACCAUCAUUAGAAGGUCCUUCCCAAAAGGGUUCUGGGCUGGGACAACUUUUUUCUGGCUGUGGUCAUCCUGGUGUGCUGGUUACGAAGCAGCCCUUGGUCCUCCAAGGGCCGGCCUUGGAGCUGCUGUUUGUAGAGAAAUGGUUUGGGUUUGAGCUUGUUUU
ensembl:lncRNA